rnacentral:rRNA from 1 species
AAUUUCAUGAAACGCGAUCCCACGAGGGUGAGCUAACCCCAAAAACCUGUUCUCAGUUCGGAUUGCAGGCUGCAAUUCGCCUACAUGAAG